rnacentral:rRNA from 1 species
GGGGAUCGAAAGACCUUGCGCUUUUGGAGCGGCCGAUGUCUGAUUAGCUAGUUGGUGGGGUAAUGGCCUACCAAGGCAACGAUCAGUAGUUGGUCUGAGAGGAUGGCCAACCACACUGGGACUGAGACACGGCCCAGACUCCUACGGGAGGCAGCAGUGGGGAAUUUUGGACAAUGGGGGAAACCCUGAUCCAGCAAUGCCGCGUGAGUGAAGAAGGCCUUCGGGUUGUAAAGCUCUUUCAGUUGAGAAGAAAAGGUUGUGACUAAUAAUCAUAAUUUAUGACGGUAUCAACAGAAGAAGCACCGGCUAACUACGUGCCAGCAGCCGCGGUAAUACGUAGGGUGCAAGCGUUAAUCGGAAUUACUGGGCGUAAAGGGUGCGCAGGCGGUUAUGUAAGUCAGAUGUGAAAUCCCCGGGCUUAACCUGGGAAUGGCGUUUGAAACUACAAAGCUAGA